rnacentral:lncRNA from 1 species
AGACCUUGUGACCAGCUACCAACUUGAAGAAUGGAUAAGAGUUUACUUAAGGGUGGGGGCACUAUCAGACUUGUUCUACAGGAGCUUCAGAUAUAUACCUGUCGUGGUUUGGCUCUGUGUUUCCACCCAAAUCUCAUGUCAGAUUGUAAUCCCCACACGUUGAAGGAGGGGCCUGGUGGGAGGUGAUUGAAUCACGGGAGCAGACUUGUCCCUUGCUUUUCUAGCGAUGGAGUUCUCAGGAGAUCUGGUUGUUUGAAAGUGCGUGGCACUUUCCCCUUUCCUGUCUCUCUCUCUCUCCUGUUCUGCCAUGGUAAGACGUGUUUGCUUCCCCAUAGCCUUCCACCAUGACUGUAAAUUUCCUGAGCCCUCCCAGCCAUGCUUUCUGUACAGCCUGUGGAACUGUGAG